ensembl:snoRNA Y44A6C.3 ncRNA
ACUUCUGCCGCCGUUUUGAACUUUACUCUUUCGCUUUACUGCUAGACAGACAAAAACUAUUUUAAUGUUAUUUUUCACGUUUCUGAUGGUAUCGCUGAUAAGAGUUUCAGAAAAAGGACAUAUGAUCCG